GAUGAAGAACGCAGCGAAAUGCGAUAAGUAAUGUGAAUUGCAGAAUUCAGUGAAUCAUCGAAUCUUUGAACGCACCUUGCGCUCCUUUGCAUUCCGAGGAGCAUGCCUGUUUGAGUGUCAUUAAAUUCUCAAGACCUGUCUGCUUUUUUGAUAGGUAUUGGAUUUUGGGGGUUGCAGGCUGUUUCAAAUAAAUAGCCUUGCUCUCCUUGAAUGUAUUAGUGGAGAAAAGCCAUUGAACUCCAUUGGUGUGAUAAAACCUAUCAAUGCCAGGAGCAAUAUCACUACUUCUCUCUGCUGUCUAACUGUGACUGUCUGUAUUAAUUAGUAUGGAUGGGGACAACUUGACCAACUUGACCUCAAAUCAGGUAGGACUACCCGCUGAACUUAAGCAUAUCAAUAAGCGGAGGA
rnacentral:misc_RNA from 1 species